rnacentral:rRNA from 1 species
UGAGCAACCUGCCCCUGACUCUGGGAUAACCCCGGGAAACCGGAGCUAAUACCGGAUACGACACGCGAAGGCAUCUUCUGCGUGUAGAAAGAUUUAUCGGUCAGGGAUGGGCUCGCGGCCUAUCAGCUUGUUGGUGGGGUAACGCCCACCAAGGCAGCGAUGCGUAGCUGGUCUGAGAGGACGAUCAGCCACACUGGGACUGAGACACGGCCCAGACCUCCGUAGGGAGG